UACGUAGGGUCCGAGCGUUGUCCGGAGUUACUGGGCGUAAAGCGCGCGCAGGCGGCGGUGUAAGCAUGGCGUGAAAGCCCCAGGCUUAACCAGGGGCGGUCGCUGGAGACUGUUAGGCUUGAGGCGAUGAGAGGGGUGCAGAAUUCCCGGUGUAGUGGUGGAAUGCGUAGAGAUCGGGAGGAAUACCAGUGGCGAAAGCGGCACCCUGGCGUCGGCCUGACGCACAUGUGCGAAAGCGUGGGGAGCGAACGGG
rnacentral:rRNA from 1 species